rnacentral:rRNA from 1 species
CCUACGGGUGGCAGCAGUGAGGAAUAUUGGUCAAUGGGCGGAAGCCUGAACCAGCCAAGUAGCGUGCAGGAUGCCGGCCCUACGGGUUGUAAACUGCUUUUAUACGGGAAUAACGCGCCUUACGUGUAGGGCUUUGCAUGUACCGUAUGAAUAAGGACCGGCUAAUUCCGUGCCAGCAGCCGCGGUACUACGGCAGGUCCGGGCGUUAUCCGGAUUUCUUGGGUUUAAAGGGAGCGUAGGCCGCAUGUCAAGUGUGCUGUGAAAUGUUCGGGCUCAACCCGUGCCUUGCAGCGCGAACUGGCGUGCUUGAGUCCGCGGAAAGGAGGCGGAAUUCGUCGUGUAGCGGUGAAAUGCUUAGAUAUGACGAAGAACCCCGAUUGCGAAGGCAGCUUGCUGCAGCGGAACUGACGCUGAUGCUCGAAAGCGCGGGUAUCGAACAGGAUUAGAUACCCCUGUAGUC